rnacentral:rRNA from 1 species
UACGUAGGGUGCAAGCGUUAAUCGGAAUUACUGGGCGUAAGGCGUGCGCAGGCGGUUCGGAAAGAGAGGUGUGAAAUCCCAGGGCUUAACCUUGGAACUGCACUUCUAACUACCGGGCUAGAGUACGUCAGAGGGGGGUAGAAUUCCACGUGUAGCAGUGAAAUGCGUAGAGAUGUGGAGGAAUACCGAUGGCGAAGGCAGCCCCCUGGGAUGAUACUGACGCUCAUGCACGAAAGCGUGGGGAGCAAACAGG